rnacentral:lncRNA from 10 species
UACACACACAUAUAUUAUGACAUUUUAUAUUUAAUAUAUAUGUAUCAAUUAACAGAUGUCUUUAAUAUCCCAAUAUAAUAACUCAACCCCUAACCUCACAGAAAGGCAGAAAUCCAAAGCAUCCUCCUUGACAUUUCAAGGACACCCUGAGAAAAGGAGAUUUCCUUUUUCCAGGGGCAGCCUCUCUCCUCUUAUUCCAGCCCCUCCUCUUGGCUCAGCUGUCAAUCCCCUUGAGAGAUCUCAGCACCGACCUUUUGUGCCCUGCUUUUCUCUCUAAGCCACUUAAUCCCUCUCAGGACAAGGACCUGUCUCCUGCAUUCCCCAUGGCAGCAACAACAUGAGGCUGUUUUGUGAAACAGCCUUUGUCCUAAAAUGUUGAGGACAAUAAGGUGGAGGCUGCAGCACAUGGCAAGAAAACACUGGGAACCAAAAAUCCGGCUUCUGUCUCUGAAGUUGAUUGGACGUGAUGGGCCCAGGCAAGAUUUGCCUGGCACAUCGUUCCUAAGGAAGCAGGAUCCCAACAAUGGAACUUUCCUUCUCUGCUGUCAACAAAGGACUAAAAAACUUCUGUGUGAUUUGAUACAGACAAUUUAGAAAACUUUUGUUUCAAAGUUUCCCAUCCAGACUAGCCAAGGAGAGCAAGGGAGGGGAGCUAAUAAGCCCAUUAAGGUGUCUUCCCAAACAAAUGUUUUCUUUGUCCUUCUGCCCAAAUGCAGAAACAGCUGCAGCUUUAAAAAAUAGCAUACUUUUAUCUUUUGAAGGAAAUAUGUGAAAGUUUUAGCACUGGUUGUCUUUGGUUGGCAAGAAAUUGUUUAGUGUUAUUUAUUUCUUCCUAUUUUUCUGAAUUUUCCAAAUUGUCCACAGCAAGCAUGACUACUUUAUCAUAAUAAAAUCUCCAAUGUAUUAUGCACCUGCUAGAUCUCUGACUUAAUCUUCACAAUAGCCCUAAUAGGGAGAUAUUAAUAUGCCCAUUUAGAGGUUCAGAAAGGUUAGGCAAUUUACUCAAGGUCACACAAGCAGAGGUGGAAAUCAAACUAGACCUUAGGCCCUGAGCCACUAAAUAAUGCUGCUUGUGGAGAUGCCCGUCCUCUACUUCAUCUGCAGGUGCAGAGCCUUGCACAUACAUGAAAGCUCACAAGAUCAUCUGAAUUUCCUCACCUGACUCCUCAUUGUAAAUGGUGUAUUUCAGCAGCAUGCUCUGUUGAUGGGGCAGGCUGUCAGAAUCAGUCCCAGUCAUGGGCUCUGGAGCUGCCCAAGGAAAGGCAGGCCAGUUAAUGCAUGGAUCUAAGUCAUUACAGGACCACAUGGAAGGAAGCAUUCAGCCUGCUCUUCUCCUCUCAAGGGCCACUGAGUUCUAACCAACCUCAGCCACAACUGGAGGCUUGAGGCUCAGGUGCCAUCUGGGCAAAGCAUGAAGCAAUAAAGACUGACAGAAGGAAUGCUUGGGGGGAAUGCAGCCAAUUACCACCUUUUGGUCUGAGAUCCAGAGAGACACACAGCCUUCACAGACAAUCUGGUCUUUCCGUGCCAUUAGCAAAGCUGCCUUCAAGAGAAGAAUGGCAACUUAACCAAAAAAUUUCAGGAUGAGACUAGAAGAGUAGCUAUCAUCACUAAGGAACAUGCAAAAAAGAAAGCAGUGCUUUUGCCACUGAAUGAAGCAGUCAAGUGAUUUUUCAAGGAAUCCCUGGGGGGUAGACAUGAUCAUCUAGUCCCUAAAUGACUCAACUGGUUGCUUUGUUGCUGAAGUGUCUUUAUUCAAUUUGUUCUUUUCUCAUGAUUCUUGCAUUCUUUCAUUCUUUCCUUCACUCAUUCUAUAAUUCAUCCAUUCCCUCACUCGUCCAGCCAGUGAGUACCCUGAGCACAGCACUGGUCCAGACAUCACAGCACACAGAGUGCAGGCAAGUGCACAGGGCAGGGCCCGGUGGGUGGAGGAAGGAGACAGAGCCAGGGUUCGCAGCUCAGUCUUUGUUACUAGGAACAAGAACUCAGUGAUGAAGCCUUCAUGUCUGGCUAUUAUUUUAGAUUCUGGAAUAUGGACAAAACCUGUUCCUCACUAUAGAUAUCACCCUA